CUAGCUCACUAAAGACACAGCACUCGCUCACACAUCCGUACAGAUGGGCUGAAUGUAAGUUCCCCUCGGGUUUGACACCAACGACAUUGAUUGCUGCCAUGCAUAUACAUGUACAUUUAGGAAAUAUUUGAUGCUACUGAAUACAUACCAAACAAGUUGAAAAUAAUAUUCCAAUUCUCUUGCUCAAAUUUUUAAAAUGAAGUUGGCUUUCAAAACUUUAAGUAGCUAUUAAAUAUAAGAAAUUGUUGACUGUGCAUGCGCGUGUGCGUUUGCGUUACUUUGUUUUGGUCUAUGUGAUAUGAAGCGGUCGACAUACAUGCGCCAUAUGUUUUCUCUCAACACAGCGAACAAAGCCACACAUUACUAUUUCCGCGUUGCACGUGUACACGUACGUGUUGACCCAAUUUGAGGUUUGCGGUACCCUGUGGAGCGUCUUAACUCCCGCCAAAUAGCCAUGCACGUGCUUCACAGAAAUGAGGCGUGGUCUGACAACGGUUGUAUAUUUCAAAUUGAUCGAUCAGACGGUUUGCAUAAUGAAUGAAAGAGUAGAGCUGCGACAUCGAUGUUUGUGUAUGCGACAUAUUGGUUGCUGUAAACCGACUCGCCGGGCAGGCAGAAACAGGAAGGAAAAGUGCCAACAUAUUGUACACUUGAGGCGACCAGGACACGGCUGCAGACGCCUCUGACGGGGUCGACAUGCCUCCACCGCCGUCGCCACGACAUGGGUAUCGUAAACUCAACGUCGAUAUGUCUCUGGUGCCAGCAAGUCAGCACAGUGUGUUCGUGAGAGGUUUGCCCCGAAACGCCUCGCCAGAUGACGUAAGAGAUUUGUUUGCUGGUGCGUGUGGGCACUGCUCGAUUGUGAUUCACAAAGUACGUGCCAAUGGCAAGUUCCUUGUUUUACGCUUCGAAAAGACGGAGGAGGCUCAACAGGCCAUAAACAAGUUUGAUGGCUGGGAGUACAAAGGCCAACAUUUCCUGCAAGUAGACUGGUACAAGGACGUUCUAAAGUACCACCUGGAGCAGAAGAAGAAGCAGUAUCCUGAUCGUCUUUUUGGAGCCCGUGCUGUCAGCAGAGCCAAACGAUGGCAGUGGCAGUUUAGGCCCUUGUCAAAUAAGACUGGAGUACGAAUUCAGCGGCCAUUUGGCAAGGCAAGUGACUGGCAACGAAACAGAUUCUACAACAGGUCUUCUAAUGCAUCUGCCUCUUAUGAGAACUCACAGGAAAGAUUUAGCAAUACACCUUGGGCAAUGACUCGAGAAAGCUCAUCAGAUGGUUCAAGUGAUACCUCUCCGGACAGAUCCAGUGAUCAAUUUCAUUGGAGGUCGAGAGAGAGGUCACAUGAUGGAUCCAGAGAGAGGUCACAGGACAGAUUAAGACAGAGGUCAGUUGAAGGAUCCAGAGAAAGGUCGCAGGAUAGAUUUAGGGAGAGGUCAGUUGAUGAAUCAAGUGAGAGGUCGCAGGACAGAUUGAGACAGAGAUCACAUGAAGGAUCCAGAGACAGGUCGCAGGAUAGAUUUAGGGAGAGGUCAGUUGAUGUAUCCAGUGAGAGGUUGCAGAAUAGAUUGACAGAGAGGUCGCAGGAUAGACUGACAGAGAGGUCUCAAGAUAGAUUGUCAGAGAGGUCUCAAGAUAGAUUGUCAGAGAGGUCUCAAGAUAGAUUGACAGAGAGGUCUCAAGAUAGAUUGACAGAGAGGUCAUGUGAUGGAUCCAGAGAGAACUUACUGGCUGGAUCUCUAGAUGGAUCACUUGAUGGGUCUCGAGAAAGGUCUUCAGAAGGAUCUUGUGAUAAAUAUGGCUCAUCCUGUGAUAGAAAGCUUAUGAAAGCACAGGAGAGACCAUGUGAUGUUCAAAGGGAUGUGUUGAAUUCAGUUUCCAGGGAAAUGUCAAGAGAAAGGUGCAGUUCUUCAUCAGAAGAUGUGUGCAAUGACAGACGAAGGGCAUGUGAAAAGACAUCUGAGAGGCCUGAAAAUGUUUCAGCAAAGACAAAACCAUGUGACCCCACGAACCUCACAAGAACAAGGGUAAGGUCAAUGGAGUUCAACCGUGAUCAACAGACACAAUUUGAGCAAAGAUCAUCCAGAAUUACAAAAUCAGGAACUCCCACACUGCAUGGGAGACGGGAAGACGCACCAAACAAACUUUCAUCAUCAGAGAAUGUGGAUAAACAUGACACCAAGAUCUCCUUGUCAACACCAGCAUCCAGUCAGGACAUUGCUAUUGACCUGGACUCACCAUGGUCGCCACCUUCACCAACGUCUGAUGACUCAGAGUUGGAACUGGCACCGGAACCUUCCCAAAAAAGAGCAAAGGACUUUGAACCAGGAGGGUUAGCAAGUGGUAGUUCCCCUGAUGAUAUUGAAGACUGGUAUGGACCAAUGCCACCAAAGAAACGUUCUUCUAAUUUUUCCCCCUCACAAAUUUCUGCUGGGGUCAAAAGUCAUGAGUUGGUGGGCAUAGGGAUAUUGGAACAACAAUCAAAAGAUGACCAAAGUGCAACCAAACAAAACGAACUGCCCCAAGAGACCUUGUCUAAGACCAGCAACAAUAGUACUUUCAGGGGUUGCUGGAUAGAAGUGGGGAAAAUAUCCAAAAAGGGUCCUAAGACUCAGUAUCGCAAAUUUAUGUUGGGCAAGGAUACAAAAUGUUUAAAAAGUGAAAUAUCUGAUAAAGAGCAUGAUUCGGGGAUCAAUUCAAGUUCGGAUAAAAAGGUAAAAGAAGACAAAAGUGAGAGAAAGUCAUCUGGUGAUUCUGAUAACGCUGCAGGUCCUGAGUGGUCACCUGGUGAGGUAGGGAUGCGGAGGCUGGAAGAGGCAUGCACCAUGUCCCUCCAUCAUCCCCCCAUACACAGCUUCACCAGAGAGAUCCUCGAACCUCGAGGGCCUGGAACAAGUAUGCCUUAUAUCAAGCCACAUAAUUUGUCUGACAAGAAGACCAUCAGCACUCUGGAAAGAAUCCGAGCUGAGGAGAUCCAAACUGACACCAAACAAAAAUCAUCAAAGAAAACCCAGAAAAAAUCUCCACUGUAUAUAAACCCUGAGGAAGAGACACCAAACAAGGAUGAGCAUUUUGAUGCCAGUGUUGAGUGUGAAUCUGCAUCCAGUUCCAGACCCUUCUUUCUGAGGUUCACCCCUCAUCGCCUCAGCUAUCAGUCUCCUCUAGCCGUGUUCACUAGCAUGGAGGAGCCCCGAUUGUCUGCUGACUUGCAUCCAAGCAGAAAGAAGAUGUAUCUGCCAUCAGAGGACGCCUCGGCUACAGUUGUGUCCAAACCAACAGGGGUGAAAUCGCUGAGAGAGAGAACCUCUUCUGCAUUACCUUUGGAGGAUAGAAAUGACCUUGAAUUUAUUGAUUCAGAGCUGGAGAAAUCAUAUGAUGAAAAAUUUCCUGACUCAGGUGAUGCUUUGAGACUGCAUAAACGUAUUGAUUCAAGGACCAAGAAGAUGGCCUCCCUUGUGCCGUAUCCAGUGGCCGACCACUCCUUCCAGCAUAGUAUGGCAGAAUCCAGCAAUCUGAAGCUGGACCCAGACGAUGAUACCCGGAGGUGGCAUGGAUCAGGGGGACACAUGUCCAGGGAUGGCAGAAGGAACAGGUCGUUGACAAAGAUGAGAGAGAGCUGCAGUUUAUCAACUGAUCUGUCUUCUUCUCAAAGCAGGAUAACCAGCACCAGCACCACUUCAGACAGCACAAUGGAGACCAGUGACUCGAGCCUCAGUUCUGCAGUCAAACAUCCAAGACAUGGCAAACAUCUAUAUUUGAGCAAUAGAAAACUGUCUUCAUCUCCCAACAGAAACAGUUUGAAAGAAACAUUGGAAUCACCAUCGGUUUCUUCAAAAAACAGGUCAAAGUCUCCAAAAUGGUCAAGGUCAAGGUCAAGGUCUAUGUCUCCAGGGAAUAGCUCCAAGAAAACGUUGCCUGCAACAAGAAAAGGCUCUAGAUCUCCAUCACCUAGCAAAAGAUCUCCGCUAAGAUCAAGAUCUACUUCACCUACCUACCUACUACCUUUUCCUGACACUUCUCGGAAAAGGUUACGAUCGCCCAAUAGGUCACAGAACAGGUCUAGGUCAUCAUCACCGAGGAACAGAUCAGCAUCCCCACUCAAACGGAAGAGAUGUAGGUCUCCUAGAAGAUCCAGGUCAAGGUCACUCACCCCUGACAACACAUCAACCUCACCUAGCAAUCAGUCAAGGUCACCUAACAAUAGGCAAACACUGGAGGAUGGGGAGCCCACAUCUCAAACCAGUCAGACAUCGAACUGUGGGAAGAGUGCUUGGACCUCAACCCCUAAGUAUGAGCGAUGGCAGAGAAAGGCCUUGUCUCGUGGACAGAUGCAGAGGGUUCACCUAAAAAAGCAAGAACUAGAGGCGGCUUUCAAGAGUGACUGUGAGACCAUCUGUAACGUGACCAAGGUUCUAUUGAGUAAGGAUCCAAGUCUGGAAAAACAAAUGUGCAAUAGUGCUAAGAACACUCUGACUGAUCUUGGUGCCAAGUUCGUCACCCAACUGCAAGAGUUCAUCGAUUCACUAAGCUCCCAUGUCCCAAGGUCAAGAAAAAAGGCACCCUAGCACCGCACCCUAGCACGUCAGUCAUCCAGAUGGUGCUGUCCUUAAAAAACAUGCUUAUUGAUAAUCAUGGCAAAGAGAGAUGUUAAAUGUUGUCUUUAUAUGCUUAUGUAUUUUGGAACCAGAGCUGUGCAAAAAGAGGGAAUCACAUCCAUGUGCUCAAAGUAGCAAAUUUUGGUCUUAUAUAGUAAGAUCUCUGCAUUUGUAUGGAUAUGCCCCAUUCAUAGUUGAAAGGAUGAGUGUUUAUGAGUGUAUUUGUGCUUGAAGUAUGUUGACUCUUGAUACAUUACUAAAAAGAAAGAGUCUGCUUGAUUUAUGUGUGUGCUUGGACUCUGUGUGCUUGUAGUAUGUGUGUGCUUGAAGGAUGUAUGUGCUUGAGGGAUGUGUGUGCUUGAGGAAUGUGUGUGCUUGAAGGAUGUGUGUGCUUGAAGGAUGUAUGUGCUUGAAGGAUGUGUGUGCUUGGGGGAUGUAUGUGCUUGAAGGAUGUAUGUGCUUGUAGUAUGUGUGUGCUUGAGGGAUGUAUGUGCUUGAAGGAUGUAAGUGCUUGAAGGAUGUAUGUGCUGGUAGUAUGUGUGUGCUUGAAGGAUGUAUGUGCUUGUAGUAUGUGUGUGCUUGAGGGAUGUAUAUGCUUGUAGUAUGUGUGUGCUUGAGGAAUGUGUGUGCUUGAAGGAUGUAAGUGCUUGAAGGAUGUAUGUGCUUGUAGUAUGUGUGUGCUUGAGGAAUGUGUGUGCUUGAAGGAGGUGUGUGCUUGAAGGAUGUGUGUGCUUGAAGGAUGUAUGUGCUUGAAGGAUGUGUGUGCUUGGGGGAUGUAUGUGCUUGUAGGAUGUGUGUGCUUGAAGGAUGUAUGUGCUUGUAGUAUGUGUGUGCUUGAGGAAUGUGUGUGCUUGAAGGAGGUGUGUGCUUGAAGGAUGUAUGUGCUUGUAGGAUGUAUGUGCUUGAAGGAUAUAUGUGCUUGUAGGAUGUAUGUGCUUGUAGUGUGUAUGUGCUUGUAAUAUGUGUGCUUGAGGGAUGUGUGUGCUUGAGGAAUGUGUGUGCUUGAAGGAUGUAAGUGCUUGUAGUAUGUGUGCUUGAGGAAUGUGUGUGCUUGAAGGAUGUGUGUGCUUGAAGGAUGUAUGUGCUUGGGGGAUGUAUGUGCUUGAAGGAUGUAUGUGCUUGUAUGUGUGUGCUUGAGGGAUGUAUGUGUUUGAAGGAUGUAAGUGCUUGAAGGAUGUAUGUGCUUGUAGUAUGUGUGUGCUUGAGGGAUGUGUGUGCUUGAAGGAUGUAUGUGCUUGUAGUAUGUGUGUGCUUGAGGGAUGUAUGUGCUUGAAGGAUGUGUGUGCCUGAGGGAUGUGUGUGCUUGAAGGAUGUAUGUGCUUGAAGGAUAUAUGUGCUUGAAGGAUGUAUGUGCUUGAGGGAUGUAUGUGCUUGAAGGAUGUAUGUGCUUGAAGGAGGUGUGUGCUUGAAGGAUGUGUGUGCUUGAAGGAUGUAUGUAUGGGAAGAGAAUGCAUCAGGAAGAAUAUACAAUUUUGAAACAAUGUAUAUGCAUGGAGUUUAUGCAUGCAAGAUAAUGUCCAUGUAUAUUUGAAUGAUAUGAGUGCUGAAGGAUGAGCAUGCUUGAUGCUGCAUGUACAUGAUUAAUAAAGUAUUACAUCCUUGAAGUUUGUGGAUACUCAAAGUGUUAAACUGCUUUAUGAAAUUAUGAAUGCUUGUGGAAUAUGUGAACAUUGAAGGAAGUAUAUACAUGUUUGCAGUAGCUAAGUAAAUAAAUUAGGGAUUACCGUU
rnacentral:misc_RNA from 1 species